rnacentral:rRNA from 1 species
GGGUUGUGAGGUUAAGCGACUAAGCGUACACGGUGGAUGCCCUGGCAGUCAGAGGCGAUGAAGGACGUGCUAAUCUGCGAUAAGCGUCGGUAAGGUGAUAUGAACCGUUAUAACCGGCGAUUUCCGAAUGGGGAAACCCAGUGUGUUUCGACACACUAUCAUUAACUGAAUCCAUAGGUUAAUGAGGCGAACCGGGGGAACUGAAACAUCUAAGUACCCCGAGGAAAAGAAAUCAACCGAGAUUCCCCCAGUAGCGGCGAGCGAACGGGGAGCAGCCCAGAGCCUGAAUCAGUGUGUGUGUUAGUGGAAGCGUCUGGAAAGGCGCGCGAUACAGGGUGACAGCCCCGUACACAAAAAUGCACAUACUGUGAGCUCGAUGAGUAGGGCGGGACACGUGGUAUCCUGUCUGAAUAUGGGGGACCAUCCUCCAAGGCUAAAUACUCCUGACUGACCGAUAGUGAACCAGUACCGUGAGGGAAAGGCGAAAAGAACCCCGGCGAGGGGAGUGAAAAAGAACCUGAAACCGUGUACGUACAAGCAGUGGGAGCACGCUUCGGCGUGUGACUGCGUACCUUUUGUAUAAUGGGUCAGCGACUUAUAUUCUGUAGCAAGGUUAACCGAAUAGGGGAGCCGAAGGGAAACCGAGUCUUAACUGGGCGUUAAGUUGCAGGGUAUAGACCCGAAACCCGGUGAUCUAGCCAUGGGCAGGUUGAAGGUUGGGUAACACUAACUGGAGGACCGAACCGACUAAUGUUGAAAAAUUAGCGGAUGACUUGUGGCUGGGGGUGAAAGGCCAAUCAAACCGGGAGAUAGCUGGUUCUCCCCGAAAGCUAUUUAGGUAGCGCCUCGUGAAUUCAUCUCCGGGGGUAGAGCACUGUUUCGGCAAGGGGGUCAUCCCGACUUACCAACCCGAUGCAAACUGCGAAUACCGGAGAAUGUUAUCACGGGAGACACACGGCGGGUGCUAACGUCCGUCGUGAAGAGGGAAACAACCCAGACCGCCAGCUAAGGUCCCAAAGUCAUGGUUAAGUGGGAAACGAUGUGGGAAGGCCCAGACAGCCAGGAUGUUGGCUUAGAAGCAGCCAUCAUUUAAAGAAAGCGUAAUAGCUCACUGGUCGAGUCGGCCUGCGCGGAAGAUGUAACGGGGCUAAACCAUGCACCGAAGCUGCGGCAGCGACACUAUGUGUUGUUGGGUAGGGGAGCGUUCUGUAAGCCUGUGAAGGUGUACUGUGAGGUAUGCUGGAGGUAUCAGAAGUGCGAAUGCUGACAUAAGUAACGAUAAAGCGGGUGAAAAGCCCGCUCGCCGGAAGACCAAGGGUUCCUGUCCAACGUUAAUCGGGGCAGGGUGAGUCGACCCCUAAGGCGAGGCCGAAAGGCGUAGUCGAUGGGAAACAGGUUAAUAUUCCUGUACUUGGUGUUACUGCGAAGGGGGGACGGAGAAGGCUAUGUUGGCCGGGCGACGGUUGUCCCGGUUUAAGCGUGUAGGCUGGUUUUCCAGGCAAAUCCGGAAAAUCAAGGCUGAGGCGUGAUGACGAGGCACUACGGUGCUGAAGCAACAAAUGCCCUGCUUCCAGGAAAAGCCUCUAAGCAUCAGGUAACAUCAAAUCGUACCCCAAACCGACACAGGUGGUCAGGUAGAGAAUACCAAGGCGCUUGAGAGAACUCGGGUGAAGGAACUAGGCAAAAUGGUGCCGUAACUUCGGGAGAAGGCACGCUGAUAUGUAGGUGAAGUCCCUCGCGGAUGGAGCUGAAAUCAGUCGAAGAUACCAGCUGGCUGCAACUGUUUAUUAAAAACACAGCACUGUGCAAACACGAAAGUGGACGUAUACGGUGUGACGCCUGCCCGGUGCCGGAAGGUUAAUUGAUGGGGUUAGCGGUAACGCGAAGCUCUUGAUCGAAGCCCCGGUAAACGGCGGCCGUAACUAUAACGGUCCUAAGGUAGCGAAAUUCCUUGUCGGGUAAGUUCCGACCUGCACGAAUGGCGUAAUGAUGGCCAGGCUGUCUCCACCCGAGACUCAGUGAAAUUGAACUCGCUGUGAAGAUGCAGUGUACCCGCGGCAAGACGGAAAGACCCCGUGAACCUUUACUAUAGCUUGACACUGAACAUUGAGCCUUGAUGUGUAGGAUAGGUGGGAGGCUUUGAAGUGUGGACGCCAGUCUGCAUGGAGCCGACCUUGAAAUACCACCCUUUAAUGUUUGAUGUUCUAACGUUGACCCGUAAUCCGGGUUGCGGACAGUGUCUGGUGGGUAGUUUGACUGGGGCGGUCUCCUCCUAAAGAGUAACGGAGGAGCACGAAGGUUGGCUAAUCCUGGUCGGACAUCAGGAGGUUAGUGCAAUGGCAUAAGCCAGCUUGACUGCGAGCGUGACGGCGCGAGCAGGUGCGAAAGCAGGUCAUAGUGAUCCGGUGGUUCUGAAUGGAAGGGCCAUCGCUCAACGGAUAAAAGGUACUCCGGGGAUAACAGGCUGAUACCGCCCAAGAGUUCAUAUCGACGGCGGUGUUUGGCACCUCGAUGUCGGCUCAUCACAUCCUGGGGCUGAAGUAGGUCCCAAGGGUAUGGCUGUUCGCCAUUUAAAGUGGUACGCGAGCUGGGUUUAGAACGUCGUGAGACAGUUCGGUCCCUAUCUGCCGUGGGCGCUGGAGAACUGAGGGGGGCUGCUCCUAGUACGAGAGGACCGGAGUGGACGCAUCACUGGUGUUCGGGUUGUCAUGCCAAUGGCACUGCCCGGUAGCUAAAUGCGGAAGAGAUAAGUGCUGAAAGCAUCUAAGCACGAAACUUGCCCCGAGAUGAGUUCUCCCUGACUCCUUGAGAGUCCUGAAGGAACGUUGAAGACGACGACGUUGAUAGGCCGGGUGUGUAAGCGCAGCGAUGCGUUGAGCUAACCGGUACUAAUGAACCGUGAGGCUUAACCUUACAACGCCGAAGCUGUU